rnacentral:rRNA from 1 species
UACAGAGGUCUCAAGCGUUGUUCGGAUUCAUUGGGCGUAAAGAGCUCGUAGGCGGUUUUGUCGCGUCUGCUGUGAAAAACUCGGGGGCUUAACUCCGGGCCUGCAGUGGGUACGGGGCAGACUAGAGUGCGGUAGGGGGAGACUGGAAUUCCUGGUGUAGCGGGUGAAAAUGCGCAGAUAUCAGGAGGAACACCGGUGGCGAAGGCGGGUCUC